ACGGGAGGCAGCAGUGGGGAAUAUUGGGCAAUGGGCGCAAGCCUGACCCAGCAACGCCGCGUGAAGGAUGAAGGUCUUCGGAUUGUAAACUUCUUUAAUCGGGGAAGAAUAAAAUGACCUACCCGAAGAAUAAUCCACGGCUAACUACGUGCCAGCAGCCGCGGUAAUACGUAGGUGGCAAGCUUUAUCCGGAUUUACUGGGUGUAAAGGGCGUGUAGGCGGCUUUGCAAGUCAGAAGUGAAAUUCUCGAGAUCAACUCGGGAGCUGCUUCUGAAACUGCAGAACUUGAGUACUGGAGGGGAAAGCGGAAUUCCUAGUGUAGCGGUAAAAUGCGCAGAUAUUAGGAGGAACACCGGUGGCGAAGGCGGCUUUCUGGACAGUAACUGCCGCUGAGGCGCGAAAGCGUGGGGAGCAAACAGGAUUAGAUACCCUGGUA
rnacentral:rRNA from 1 species